GACGAACCGUGCAAACGUUGUUCGGAAUCACUGGGCUUAAAGGGCGCGUAGGCGGGCGGUCAAGUCAGGGGUGAAAGCCCCCAGCUCAACUGGGGAAGUGCCUUUGAUACUGGCCGUCUAGAGGGAGGUAGGGGCAUGCGGAACUUCCGGUGGAGCGGUGAAAUGCGUAGAUAUCGGAAGGAACGCCGGUGGCGAAAGCGGCGUGCUGGACCUCUUCUGACGCUGAGGCGCGAAAGCCAGGGGAGCAAACGGG
rnacentral:rRNA from 1 species